UAUCUACCAUGGAGUUAUUGUGUUUAAUUAGUCUUUCAUGUGAUGACGGGUUCGAAACUAAGUGGUUUCUCGUCGUUGAAUAAACGUGGAUGUUUUGGCAAAUAUCAGCAUCACUGAAAUAUACAUACAUAGGUCCCAAUUGCUAAUGAAUUUUCUUCUGGAAAACGAACUGUAACUAAGAGAGCGUGCGAGUGAUUUAAGGGGACUGGGGAGAUCUGGACUAGCGCACUCGACUCAAAUAUUAUUGCCCUCGAUCACCGCUGGAAAUAUUUUGUUUUCAUUAUACUGAUAAGAACAGAUCAUUUGUUGUGGAAUCUCGGCGACGACAACAUGUACAACAUGAAAAUUUCUCUCCUGACCGUUCUGGCACUGAUGCUGGCUGUCUGGACUGGCGCUGUAGCUGGAGGCGGGUAAUCCAAGUAUCCCGUGACAAUGCUGUGCAUAUUGGAUCCCAAUCAGGGCUAAUAACCGUGAACAGCCCAAUCUCUAUGUCUUCUCCUGUGUCUGUCUUGAAUAAAGUUGAAACGUGGCACUUA